rnacentral:rRNA from 1 species
AUUGAACGCUGGCGGCGUGCCUAACACAUGCAAGUCGAGCGGCAGCGCGGGAGCAAUCCUGGCGGCGAGCGGCGGACGGGUGAGUAACGCUUGGGAAUCUGCCUGUUAGUGGGGGACAACCCGGGGAAACUCGGGCUAAUACCGCAUACGCACUACGGUGGAAAGCCGGGGACCGCAAGGCCUGGCGCUAACAGAUGAGCCCAAGUCGGAUUAGCUAGUUGGUAGGGUAACGGCCUACCAAGGCGACGAUCCGUAACUGGUCUGAGAGGACGACCAGUCACACCGGAACUGAGACACGGUCCGGACUCCUACGGGAGGCAGCAGUGGGGAAUAUUGGACAAUGGGGGAAACCCUGAUCCAGCGACGCCGCGUGGGUGAAGAAGGCCUGCGGGUUGUAAAGCCCUUUCAGUGGGGAAGAAAGCCUCGACCUACACGUCGGGGUCUUGACGUAACCCAUAGAAGAAGCACCGGCUAACUCUGUGCCAGCAGCCGCCGUAAG